rnacentral:rRNA from 1 species
CCAAUAGCGUAUAUUAAAGUUGUUGCAGUUAAAAAGCUCGUAGUUGAAUUUCGGGGUUAGUAGGUUGGCCAUGCCUCUGGUAUGUACUGGUCUCACUGAUUCCUCCUUCCUGAUGAGCCGUAAUGCCAUUAAUUUGGUGUUGCGGGGAAUUUGGACUGUUACUUUGAAAAAAUUAGAGUGUUUAAAGCAAGCUAACGCUUGAAUACAUUAGCAUGGAAUAAUGAAAUAGGCAGUUCGAUCCUAUUUUGUUGGUUUCUAGGAUUGACGUAAUGAUUAAUAGGGAUAGUUGGGGGCAUUAGUAUUCAAUUGUCAGAGGUGAAAUUCUUGGAUUUAUUGAAGACGAACUACUGCGAAAGCAUUUGCCAAGGAUGUUUUCAUUAAUCAAGAACGAAAGUUAGGGGAUCGAAGACGAUCAGAUACCGUCGUAGUCUUAACCAUAAACUAUGCCGACUAGGGAUCGGAUGAUGUUAAUUUUUUAAUGACUCAUUCGGCGCCUUACG